rnacentral:rRNA from 1 species
ACCUAUGGCCAUACCCUCCUGAACAUGCCCAAUCUCCUCUGAUCUCAGAAGCUAAGCAAGAUCAGGCCUGGUUAGUAGUUAGACAGGAGAAAAUGUAACCCUAAAUG